UACGGAGGAUCCAAGCGUUAUCCGGAUUAUUGGGUUUAAAGGGUGCGUAGGCGGCCUAUUAAGUCAGGGGUGAAAGACGGUAGCUUAACUAUCGCAGUGCCUUUGAUACUGAUGGGCUUGAAUGAACUAGAGGUAGGCGGAAUGUGACAAGUAGCGGUGAAAUGCAUAGAUAUGUCACAGAACACCAAUUGCGAAGGCAGCUUACUAUGGUUUUAUUGACGCUGAGGCACGAAAGCGUGGGGAUCAAACAGG
rnacentral:rRNA from 1 species